rnacentral:tRNA from 2 species
GCGGAUAUGGCGGAAUUGGCAGACGCGUUAGCUUCAGGUGCUAGUGGCUUAGCCGUGCAGGUUCAAAUCCUGUUAUCCGCACCA